GUUGUCUCCUUAGGACACCCAACAAAAUUGGAACCAUACAAAAAAUAUUAGCAUUGCCCCUACGCAUCCUCACACAUAAAUUGAGAAAUGGUCUCUUUUCUU